UUUGACAAUGUGCGCCCUUGAUUAGAUUAGAUUAGUAAUAUUGUAAAUCCAAUUUUGGUAUAGGAUUGUAUUACAAUGUGCUUAAAUGGUUAUUUAUGUAUGAACAGUUAACAAUGUGCACCCUUUAAUUGUAUGUGGAAUUCAAAAUUGAUGAGUCAAGAUGCAAAAUAUUCUGUAAGUUAGGCUCUGCUUCACCACCAUCACGAUUAAGCACCUCAACAAGGAAUUGGAAAUGGUUCUUGUGACUAUGCCUAGUAAGAAUGUUUACCUUUCAUAUUGUUGUCUCUAUGUUUACAUCAAAGACGGAAAUUUGUGUCAAAAUAUUUGUAUCAUUCACUUACCAAUGCAUCUAGUGCACUUAACAGUUUUAACAUCACCAACUGAAUUCUAUGACUUAGUUAGUUAGCACCCAUCUUAGUUUCAUUCGCCUAGCUCCAUGACUAAUGCCUUUGUUUGUUAUAGCUUAGAGCCAAAUCAGCAUGCAGCUUUUAUAAUAUAUGCUUUUGUUCUUGGCCUAUAUAGUACUUAUUCCUAGUUAUAUUAGAUUGAUAUUUGAAUAGUGCUAGUUUUUGGACUAUUAUGCCAUGGUUCCACACUUUGUGCUGUAUACAUGAAAAUGAACUUAUGGAACAAACUAGUGAUGACAAAGAGAUUAGACAGUAAUUUGCUACUGUACACUGGACUUAUUGUGUGUGUAAUUCUGAAUGACUAAUUUUUGUCAUGUUCUCCCACUGGACUUAUUUGAAAUCAUUUUUCUUUUGAAUAUAUGUCUGGUUAAUAGAUUAAUAAUUCUGCCAAUCGCUAAAAAUGAACUAGCGUUCAUCAUGACUGCUAAUUCAAUGUCAAUUUUGUUAUAUCAUUGUAUAAUAAUCUACUUAAAUAUCAUGCUUGAAUGUGAAUUAUGUCAGAAUUAACAAAUGAAGAACACGAACAGUGCUAUGAAAUGGCCAAGAUCAUGCUGAAGGUCGCGAUUGCACCAAAGGCUAUUUUAAACACCGUUAACGCCACGGAUGGGUCAUCUUCAUUUUGAUUUAAUUAACAUAUCAUUAUUCUGUUAUUUUGUGCAACUAACCAACCUAUUUGUCUCAUUCUAAUGGUUUAUUUAUUUCAAAUGUAGAUUUACGGUGAAGUUAGUAGGUCAUUUGUUGUGAGGUGGAAAGACAUAUUUGACCGUUUAUGGCAUUUCGUUGACAAGGAUGGAAAUUUCCAUAUCGUUGUCUACAACCAAGAUUUGGACAAACCAGCCAUUAUAUUAGGGUGAACAAGACUAAGAGAUUUCUAUCACCUGAUCGGAGAUCAUCAAGUGUUGUUAACUCAUUAUUCAAGAGCAAUAGCCAUCCAAAAUCAUUCCCAAGAUGACACUCAUUAUACAAUCAAGUGCCAAAUUCUGUCACUUUCAAGGUGUAUCUCACUCUGCACAAAAUUACUUGCAGCAACCUGGACAUUUUAAGCACGAUGUAUUAUUUUCUUAAAGACAAAGACUGGUCUCAUUUGAAUUUAGAGGACAUUGCAGAAUGUCGGAUUAUGUCGAUCACUAGAGAAAGACAACUAAAAUUGGAGCUGAAUGGAAAUAUUUUUGUGAAACUCAAUCCUUCAAAGCUGGCACGGAAAUUGUCUUCGAAUUCCCUGAUCCAACAGUUAACCAUGUUUUAUUUUGCCCAUGUUUAUGAAUUAAAUUUAACAUUAUUAGGACUUGGAACAUUAUUCCUUUUAAUUAUUAGGAAUUCUUUAACUAUGCUUUUGCUACAAA